UGGGUCCUGCGGCUUUCCUUGUGUA
rnacentral:piRNA from 1 species